ensembl:lncRNA
CAAUGGGAAGAACACAAGGGCUGCUACCCCUUCAGUGGGAUAGAGCAAAGUGUGUAAAGAGGAGACCCAAUGAACUGACUGAGUGACUCACUCACCUGGAGCCUUCUUGAAGUAGAGGCGCAGGAGGACUUCUUGGGGGGGGGGGGAGGCAGAGCUGCACUUGACCUAGCGGUGUCCAAAAAGCUGAAGCAGUGUCCUCAAGAAGCAGCACUGGGACAGGCCCACUAGACAAAGACCGUAACCCUUCUCGGGGCUGCCGAGGACUUAGGUGGCAGGGUGAUAUCAAGGAGAGCGGAACAGUUGACAGGGUGGCUCGGUUGAGUUUUCCAGUCUUUUCCAAUCUCUGAUCCUCUGACUGCCUUUUUAUGAGAGAAGAAGGGGAGGGACUAGCAGAGAUUAUGCUUUCCAGGCCAGCCCCCCUCUCCUCCCCCUUCCUCUCCCAGGAGCCGGCUGUUUCCCUGGAGCCACCGGCUGGGCCCAUUGCACCCCUGAAUCGACACACAACAACAACAGCUCCUGAAUUCCAGGGACAUUGACUGUCCAGUGAUGGCCAAUCAGCUUUCCCCUUUCUCCUCCUCCCUUCACUCCAGCCCUGAGGAAAGCUGUUGGAAUUGAGAGACGAAGAAUUGGGAAGUGUUUCCCUGGAUCAAGGCUGCCUCUCUGAUAUCCUCACUACCAGCAGCAGUGAUUCAAGUCAAGGAAACGAGGACCUAAUAACACUGUAAAAGGAAGGCAGGUCCCUCAUGGAUUCUCCAGCAAACACAGAAACCUCCAUCAAUCAAGAAUUGCUUUCCAAAGAGGCCGCCUGGUGUACACCUGGUUGUAGAUGUUGCUGCUGUUUCAUGGAGGUGCUGAGUGGGGCCUAUCUGCUACUGCUGGUGACUGUCCUCAUCACCCUACUCAGGUAUUUUCUAGGUAAGGAGCACAGUAGGGCUCGGGUUGGGGGGAGGAUGUCAAGGAAAAAGGGAAGGUGGCUAGCCUUAGAGCCAGAAAUGUGGGGAAGGAGUACCCUUGAACCCUCAGUGGCCCCAUGGAUAUGACUUUGAUGCCCCUGACCUUUAGCAUAGAGCAGCAUUUGGAGAUGAGGGUUUAGUAUUGUGAAUAAGGCUUUAGUGACUGUGGUUGGGGGUUUAAUGCCUGGGCAGGGUUUUGGCUAUGGUGGCUCAGAAUCAGAGAUGUUGGCUCAGUUCCCAUAUUGCUCAUGUUCCCCAGAAAGAAAACUCCCUCAGAGGAUAACAGGGCAUGAGUGGGUACCAGUUUUGUGAGCCCUGUGGGAAAAGAGCUGAGACCCAUCAUUCAGCCUCCCACCUCAGCCUCCUGGGUAUAGGCCCUCUCAGGACAGAUCACUUUCCCUUGGCCUUGCUUUGACCAAAGCCUCCUGGUUUUUUUUCACAGAGUUUCCUGCCAUCAUGAAAGGAUUUGGCAUUUUCCAAAGUGCCAACACCAUCUCUGUCCCUAGGGAGUCCUAAGCUGAGAAGGGGACUCUAGGCAGGUCUCUCUGGAUCUAGACUUCUCCACCAGCAGCCUCUUUCCCUCAGCACACAGUAGGCUCACUGGAGAGCUAGACACUCCUGACUGAGGCCCCAGUACUUUUGACCAGCCAGCUUUUAGGGACUCUGAUCUGAUACCCUAGGUCCAUGGCCUUCUGCCAUUCAUGUGUGCUAUCAAUCAAGCCUGAUCUGUGGAUCAAUGAUAUACAGAGGAAAUAUUGGGCUAGAAGUUUGAGGACCUGGCAUAGUAGUGAGUAUUCUGGGUUUGGAGUCUGCAGGCCAGGUGUGAUUCUUGACUCUGCUGUUUAAUGUGUGACCUUGGCCAAGUCAUUUUAUCUCUCUGAGCCUCAGUUUCCUUCUCUGUAAAAUAAAGGGGUUGGACUGGAGGGCCUCUCUGGUCUC